GACGAACGCUGGCGGCGUGCUUAACACAUGCAAGUCGAACGGAAAGGCCUGCUUUCCCUUGUGGAUUGCGGGUGCUCGAGUGGCGAACGGGUGAGUAACACGUGAGUGAUCUGCCCCCAACUUGGGUAUAAGCCUGGGAAACUGGGUCUAAUUCCCGAUAGGACUGCAGGGUGGUGCCUGUGGUGGAAAACGAUUUUCUAGUGGUUGGGGAUGAGCUCGCGGCCUAUCAGCUUGUUGGUGGGGUAAUGGCCUACCAAGGCGGCGACGGGUAGCCGGCGUGAGAGGGUGGACGGCCACAUUGGGACUGAGAUCCUGCCCAGACUCCUACGGGAGGCAGCAGUGGGGAAUAUUGCACAGUGGGCGGAAGCCUGAUGCAGCGACGCCGCGUGGGGGAUGACGGCCUUCGGGUUGUAAACUCCUUUCGACCGCGAGGAAGCCACCUGGUUGGAAGGGUGGUGACGGUAGUGGUAGAAGAAGCACCGGCUAACUACGUG
rnacentral:rRNA from 1 species